GUUUUCGACUUAAUGAGUACUACUCCUGUAUACUCCUUUCUCUUCCAAUAACUUCUCCUUUUCCUCAAUAAAAAUAAACGGUUGAAAGUCUCAAUCAAAAUUGCUUUUUGUUGAUGAAGAAUAUGAAAUUCAGCAAACGUGGGCUACAUUGAGGUUAAAGACUCUUAGUGUUCAUCGAAGCUUCUGAAUCUGAGGUCAAGAAGGCUUUCCGACGCCUUGCUUUGCAUGUCGGUCAGAAAAAUUGUUUUGCAAAACUAUUGAGAUGUGCUGCGGUUCUUUGAGGAUUUUUUUUGUUGCAUUCAAUUGUCAAUCUUUUGAAAGAUCUCUAAAUUUAUUUUUUUUAAUUUGUGAACCUUUUUUAUACUUGUGAAAUGAAGGUGUUGUAGAAGAAAAACUGAAAAUCUGAUCCAAUUUGCUUUACCAUAUAUAAUCAACAUUUUGUUUGUUACCAUUUUCUGUUAUGUAUUAAUCAUCUAAGUGGUUUCUAACCCAAUUGGAAACCUGCCAAAGAAAAAGCAGCAUAUACAUCUUUGAAGGAUUAAGAUAAUGUCUUUAAUUUCACCUUGAGGCAGAUGACUUUUAAUCAUCAAUGUGACUAUGUGUUAUAGAGUUUAUUACUCCAAGGUUUUGUCAAAAUAAUGAAAUGUGUACAUGUCACAUAUAAUGAGUUUUUUUUUUUUUUUUUUUAAAUGUCAGAAAAUUCAUGUGCUAAGACCAUUCCAAAUGUCAAAUUAUAUUUAGACAUCAUGAAAUUUCUGAACUCAAAUGCAGGCAGCCGGACUUUGAAAAGUCGGCUAUAGGAAAAGUUGUCCGCGCAUAAGCAACAAAAGAAAAGCAGUGUGAAAACACUAAUAAGGGUGAACCAACUCUAAAGAUUGUAUAAUUGGUUAUUUCAUCUCUUCUAGUUGUACCUGUGGCCAUAUCAAAAGACAAAUGAUACUUAUUGAACCAAGUCUUGGGGCUGUUAUUGCAAUAGGCCUUGCGGCUAACCAUCUAAAAGCAAAUUUUGUCGCAAUAUCAAGUGCUCAGUGUGAACUAUUGUUAUCCCAUACAAAAUAGUCUAAUUUGUGAAGCAGGGCAAAGUAGACAAAAACGUCAAAAUUUGAAGGUUGACCAUUGUAUCAAUUAACUAACUAGCUUAUUUUAGUUAUAGAGUAUUAUUUAUUGUGAAUUGUGAGAGAAAUAUUUGUAAUUUACAAGUACAUCAAUUCAAUGUAAUUGAUAAGGUGUCGCUUAAAGUUGGUCUUAUAUUGGUCACAUUAAUAGUUAUUGUAUUUUAUGAAAG